rfam:Oryzias latipes DNA, chromosome7, strain: Hd-rR.
GACACUGAUAAUGGUAUGCCUGCUUUAGCAGGUUAGGGUUCAAUUCCCUACGGUGGUC